rnacentral:lncRNA from 1 species
AAUCUGAGGUCCACAGAUGGAGUGUUUGCCAUGUCCAAUACUACAUGCAAAAAUACACGCGUCUAUUUGAGGAUGUUUUUCUGGAUGGAAAGCUCCGUCCGGACACCAUCCAACGGUACGAUUCAACAAACCGUAGCUUCAUCUUGAUCACCUGGAAAUGCUCUUGGCCUUUGCAAAAUGGACGAAGAGGCUAACAAUGAAAAUACUGGAGGAAAUUUGCUCUAAGUUAGUCCCCAGAGAAACCAUUAGGUCGGGGAUUUCAUAAACCGUGCUGUAAUUUGCUACAAUAGCAGUCCCACGGUGAUCCCCAUGACGAUGGAGCGCCAGAACCCGUGACUGGCAACGUAACACCAGUCUCCUCUGGAGUAAAUACGACCAUUUCAAGCAGACUGCCAACCAGACAGCAGAAAGCACAGCAGCUGGAAAGCACCGAGAACAGGCAGAGAAUGCUGCCUUGUGCACCGUCUAGCCAUCCGACCAGGAAUGGAGGCAAUCGGUGCUUCACCCUUUGAUGUUCCUUCCGGGUGUUCUGGUGCCCACAGCACUUGGGAAACCAAGGCAGAAGGAUCAUCACAAGUUCAAAGGCAACCUGGGACUCUAGACAGACUAUUCGAAAAAAUUAUACAAGUAAAUGCAAGAAAGUAAGCACUUCCUUU